UGGGGAAUAUUGCACAAUGGAGGGAACUCUGAUGCAGCAACGCCGCGUGCGGGAUGACGGCCUUCGGGUUGUAAACCGCUUUCAGCCAUGACGAAGCUUUUGUGACGGUAGUGGUAGAAGAAGCACCGGCUAACUACGUGCCAGCAGCCGCGGUGAUACGUAGGGUGCGAGCGUUGUCCGGAAUUAUUGGGCGUAAAGAGCUUGUAGGCGGUUUGUCGCGUCGAUAGUGUAAACACGCAGCUUAACUGUGUGCCUGCUGUCGAUACGGGCUGACUAGAGGAGGGUAGGGGAGGAUGGAAUUCCCGGUGGAGCGGUGGAAUGCGCAGAUAUCGGGAGGAACACCAGUGGCGAGGGCGGUUCUCUGGACAUUUCCUAACGCUGAGAAGCGAAAGCGUGGGUAGCAAACAGG
rnacentral:rRNA from 1 species